AUGGCGGGCAACAACGUGGUGUGGCAACCCCAAGUUGUCGAAGAAAUGCUACGCUAUUACAAAGAGAAAUUUCAGUCUGAGGGGAAACAAUUUAUUUUCAAAGAGUUGCAUCACGAGGAGUGUGCAAAACAAAUCAACGCAAAGUUUGGCACUGUUUUCACACAGAGGCAAGUUUAUCACAAGUUCCACAAACUGAAAGCCCAGUGGAAGGUUAUUUUAGAGGCGAAGAACUUAAGUGGUGCCAAUUUUGAUGAUGUCAACAAGAUAAUUUUAUAUGAAGAGACGGAGGUUGUUCGGAUGAAGAAUAACAAAGACAAAAGGGCAAAGUAUAUCAAUGUGCCCAUUGCUUCAUUUGAUGAUAUGGAGUACGUAUUUCAAGAUAAGCAUGCUACGGGAGAGUUCUCAAUCCUGCAAACUCCCUAUGACCAUGUUUCUUCUCGUGACAAGGAUUUUGUUGGCGACAAGAAUGUGAGUAAUGCCGAUGUUGAUCCUGCAACGCAAUAUGAUUCGGAUUGUCUUCCCGAAGACACCAACAGUGAAAGCUCUUCUUCAAAGCACCCUAGAGGUGGUAGCCGUGACAAAGGUAAGAGGGUCAAGUGUGAUGACAACGUAAUUACAGACAUGACACAUUCUCUACGUGAUAUGUCUGAAACCAUGCGUUUCACACACGUGACUAAUCCAAAUGACAACUUAUACAAAAUAAUAGAUGACAUGGAAGAAUACCCUCUCUACAUUCUACUUGCAUUAUAGACAUCUCUGGCCACGAAUGAACAAGUGGCUUCCAUGUUGAAGGGGCGUCCAAUGCAUUCUAUCAAAGAGUGGGUGCGGCGAUGGUCGUGGAUAACUAUCCUUCUUACGUGCGUACUAAGAUGUGAUUCAUUUUAG